rnacentral:rRNA from 1 species
AGAAUCAACGCUGGCGGCGUGCCUAACACAUGCAAGUCGCACGAGAAAGCGGACUUCGGUCUGUGAGUAAAGUGGCGCACGGGUGAGUAACACGUGAAUAAUCUACCUUCGAGUGGGGAAUAAACUGAGAGAAAUCUUAGCUAAUACCGCAUAACACUUACGAGUCAAAGCAGCAAUGCGCUUGAAGAGGAGUUCGCGGCAGAUUAGUUAGUUGGCGGGGUAAUGGCCCACCAAGACGAUGAUCUGUA